CUCUUUUUCUUUUUGGUUGAAUUUAUUUUGAACUGAUUUUCUCUUCCCCAUUUUCUCUUUGCCUCUCUUAACUGAUUUUAAAAAUCAUUUUUGAGCUCUCCCAAAGCCUGUGUAGGAAAGGAUUUCUAGCAGAGCAUAGCAAAGCAGGCUGAUAGCCUGGGAUAUUGCAAAACCAGGAUUCCACAGAGCUGGCUGGGUCAGCAUUCCAAGACAGUUGGGAAGCUCUCUCAAGCUGGGUGGCAGACUGAGUGGCUGUGUACCAAAGGGUCUCCCUGAAGAAACCAAUUUAGGAGCUGCCAAGGACUUUGGGUUAUCUUUUAAAGGUUGAGUGAGAGUUUCCCUUCACUCUGGUGGACAGUUGUGAACUUCCUCCCUUUCUGGACCUUGUGAAGACCCUAUAUCUUGAUCUUGCUGUUUUGACACAACCAAGGACUCUGGAGUUUGUGAAAAUCUGGGCCCCCUUUGGACUUUAUCUUUUAUUUACCUUUUAGUUAGUUAUUAUUAAGCUUAGAUUAUAAACCUUAGUGUGUUAAACUCUGGGUGGUUAGAGAUAAGUCACUCCCUGAUUCCCCUUAUCCCUCUUUGGCUUAACAAAUCUCUUUUAUAUACAUUUUGUUAGUGUGAUCCAUCUAUUAACCUUUCCUUUCCCUUUCCUUCCCCAAACCUUUCCUAUUACAUUUUGGCUGAGCCUACUAGGUUGACUUUAGAUAGUGAAAAUCCUGUUAGAAAUCAAAUAGACAGUUAAGGGGAUAACUGGAAGAUUCCAUUUUCACUACCAGCACUUGCCUGGCUGGUCUCCUUUCUCAGCUUCAACUCCAGAAAGAAACAAAGUUCAAAAUCUCUUCUUUUCUCCUGGCCAGCUCAACUCUCAUAUAGACCACCAACUUAAGAGCUUCUCCCCGAUCAGCUUCCACUGCUCAGAACCAGAGAGACAGAGACCAAGUCCAAAAGCCAAGUUUCUCUUCUCAGUGUCAACUUCAACUGCUCAGAGGGAGAGAAACCCCCAAAACCAAGUCAG
rnacentral:lncRNA from 1 species